AACGAACGCUGGCGGCAUGCCUAACACAUGCAAGUCGAACGCGUGUAGCAAUACACGAGUGGCGAACGGGUGAGUAACACGUGGGUGACCUGCCCUCAGCUCUGGGAUAAGCCUGGGAAACCGGGUCUAAUACUGGAUAUGACUCCAUGACGCAUGUUGUGGGGUGGAAAGCCUUGUGCGGCUGAGGAUGGGCCCGCGGCCUAUCAGCUUGUUGGUGGGGGAUGGCCUACCAAGGCGACGACGGGUAGCCGGCCUGAGAGGGCGACCGGCCACACUGGGACUGAGACACGGCCCAGACUCCUACGGGAGGCAGCAGUGGGGAAUAUUGCGCAAUGGGCGAAAGCCUGACGCAGCGACGCCGCGUGGGGA
rnacentral:rRNA from 1 species